rnacentral:rRNA from 1 species
UACGUAGGGUGCGAGCGUUUGUCCGGAAUUAUUGGGCGUAAAGAGCUCGUAGGCGGUUUGUCGCGUCGGCCGUGAAAACUUGGGGCUUAACCCCAAGCCUGCGGUCGAUACGGGCAGACUUGAGUUCGGCAGGGGAGACUGGAAUUCCUGGUGUAGCGGUGAAAUGCGCAGAUAUCAGGAGGAACACCGGUGGCGGAAAGGCGGGUCUCUGGGCCGAUACUGACGCUGAGGAGCGAAAGCGUGGGGAGCGAACAGG